GUGGGGAAUAUUGGGCAAUGGGCGAAAGCCUGAUCCAGCCAUGCCGCGUGUGUGAAGAAGGUCUUCGGAUUGUAAAGCACUUUAAGUUGGGAGGACGGGCAGUAAGUUAAUACCUUGCUGUUUUGACGUUACCAACAGAAUAAGCACCGGCUAACUUCGUGCCAGCAGCCGCGGUAAUACGAAGGGUGCAAGCGUUAAUCGGAAUUACUGGGCGUAAAGCGCGCGUAGGUGGUUCAGCAAGUUGGAGGUGAAAUCCACGGGCUCAACCUGGGAACUGCCUCCAAAACUACUGAGCUAGAGUACGGUAGAGGGUAGUGGAAUUUCCUGUGUAGCGGUGAAAUGCGUAGAUAUAGGAAGGAACACCAGUGGCGAAGGCGACUACCUGGACUGAUACUGACACUGAGGUGCGAAAGCGUGGGGAGCAAACAGGAUUAGAUACCCGGGUAGUCC
rnacentral:rRNA from 1 species